AUACUACUCCCUCGGUCCAAAAAAGCUUGUCCCUCAAAUGAAUGUAUCUAGCACCAAGUUAGUACUAGAUACAUCCAUUUGAGGGACAAGCUUUUUCGAACGGAGGGAGUAUAUU
rnacentral:pre_miRNA from 1 species